rnacentral:rRNA from 1 species
UACGUAGGGUGCGAGCGUUAAUCGGAAUUACUGGGCGUAAAGCGUGCGCAGGCGGUUUUGUAAGCCAGAUGUGAAAUCCCCGGGCUUAACCUGGGAAUGGCAUUUGGGACUGCAAGGCUGGAGUUUGGCAGAGGAGACUGGAAUUCCUGGUGUAGCAGUGAAAUGCGUAGAUAUCAGGAGGAACACCGAUGGCGAAGGCAGGUCUCUGGGCUGAAACUGACGCUCAUGCACGAAAGCGUGGGGAGCAAACGGG